GUAGGUGAACCUGCGGAAGGAUCAUUAAUGAAUAACUUUGGCGUGGUUGUCGCUGGCUUCUAGGAGCAUUGUGCACACCCGUCAUCUUUAUCUUUCCACCUGUGCACUAAAUGUAGAUCUGGAUAACUCUCGCUUUCGAGCGGACUCGAGGAUUGCGUCAGCUUUCCUUGAAUUUCCAGGUCUAUGUAUUUUAUACACCCCAAUUGAAUGAUAACGAAUGUAAUCAAUGGGCUCUAAGCCUAUAAAACAA
rnacentral:misc_RNA from 1 species